rnacentral:rRNA from 1 species
UACGUAGGGUGCGAGCGUUGUCCGGAAUUAUUAGGGCGUGAAGGCUCGUAGGCGGUUUGUCGCGUCGGGAGUGAAAACUCAGGGCUUAACCCUGAGCCUGCUCCCGAUACGGGCAGACUAGAGGUAUGCAGGGGGAGAACGGAAUUCCUGGUGUAGCGGUGAAAUGCGCAGAUAUCAGGAAGAACACCCGUGGCUAAGGCGGCUCUCUAGUACGGUACUGACGCUGAGACGCGAAAGCGUGGGGAGCGAACAGG